rnacentral:pre_miRNA from 1 species
UUGGCUGUGUUGUUGGCUGUGUUGUCGCUUCUUGAUUGGUUGAUGUUUGCAGAAAAAGCCAACCAAAUUGCAAACAUCAACUCCAUCAACCAAUCAAGAAGCGACAACACAGCCAACAACAUAGCCAAC